CCUGUUCCAUUCUUGAGAAAUUGAGAAAUACACAGAGCCCAGGGAUGUGGUGCAAUACUACAGAGGAGAAAUUAAGUAAAAAUCUACUCCCAAAACAAAGAUGCAGCUGUUCUCUUAGUUACAUUGGCAGAUUGUGUGUUGUCAAUGUUGACUAUUGCUUAGGGAACCAGAGUAUAUCAGUGCAUGGCCUCUGCCUGGCCCUUUCGCACAAGUGUAACUGUAUCAGUCUGCAAAGAUAUGAAAGGAACAUCUGUGAGAUAGAUACUGAAGACUGCAAAUCUGUGUCCUGCAAAAAUGGAACAACUAGUAUACAUUUAAGGGGAUAUUUCUUCUGCAAGUGUGUCCCAGGAUUUAAAGGCAAGUUUUUUUUUUUCCUGAUAAAUCAAAUUUUCUAGU
rnacentral:sRNA from 1 species